GACGACGCUGGCGGCGCGCCUAACACAUGCAAGUCGAACGGAGCUGAGAGAAGCUUGCUUUUCUUAGCUUAGUGGCGAACGGGUGAGUAACGCGUGAGUAACCUGCCCUGGAUGGGGGACAACAGUUGGAAACGGCUGCUAAUACCGCAUAAGCGCACAGUGCCGCAUGGCACGGUGUGAAAAACUCCGGUGGUAUAAGAUGGACCCGCGUCUGAUUAGCUUGUUGGUGAGGUAACGGCCCACCAAGGCGACGAUCAGUAGCCGGCCUGAGAGGGUGAACGGCCACAUUGGGACUGAGACACGGCCCAAACUCCUACGGGAGGCAGCAGUGGGGAAUAUUGCACAAUGGGGGAAACCCUGAUGCAGCGACGCCGCGUGAGUGAUGAAGUAUUUCGGUAUGUAAAACUCUAUCAGCAGGGAAGAUAAUGACGGUACCUGACUAAGAAGCACCGGCUAAAUACGUG
rnacentral:rRNA from 1 species